CUGCCUCCGUAGCCAAAUCCUGGUCUCUGGCCUUCGGCCCCCUGCAAGAGAAGACCACGGAGCUCAACCUCCACCCGCGGUGCUGGGCACGCUGCUUGAGCCACUGGGAGCUGCCACCAGGGCCCCGGGGAAGGGCCCAGGCCCCGGACUGGACUGGGAACAGUUGCUUACCUUCACGCUGUGGGGUGUUCAAGAGAAGAUUAGCAAACAUCAAGCAAAUCAAGGUAAGGAGGCUCCUGCCUACACGGGUUUGGAGGACUCGGACCCUGGGGGGCUGUGCGCUGUGUAGGUGCCGGUCCCCGGAGGCCCCGGCCUGCGCCUUUGCUGGGGGCUCCUUUUGCUGAUUGAUUU
rnacentral:lncRNA from 1 species